rnacentral:rRNA from 1 species
GAUGAACGCUGGCGGCGUGCCUAAUACAUGCAAGUCGAGCGAACAGACGAGGAGCUUGCUCCUCUGACGUUAGCGGCGGACGGGUGAGUAACACGUGGAUAACCUACCUAUAAGACUGGGAUAACUUCGGGAAACCGGAGCUAAUACCGGAUAAUAUAUUGAACCGCAUGGUUCAAUAGUGAAAGACGGUUUUGCUGUCACUUAUAGAUGGAUCCGCGCCGCAUUAGCUAGUUGGUAAGGUAACGGCUUACCAAGGCAACGAUGCGUAGCCGACCUGAGAGGGUGAUCGGCCACACUGGAACUGAGACACGGUCCAGACUCCUACGGGAGGCAGCAGUAGGGAAUCUUCCGCAAUGGGUGAAAGCCUGACGGAGCAACGCCGCGUGAGUGAUGAAGGUCUUCGGAUCGUAAAACUCUGUUAUUAGGGAAGAACAAAUGUGUAAGUAACUAUGCACGUCUUGACGGUACCUAGUCAGAAAGCCACGGCUAACUACGUG